UACGGGGGGGGCAAGCGUUGUUCGGAAUUACUGGGCGUAAAGAGCUCGUAGGCGGCUCGGUAAGUCAGGUGUGAAACCUCCAGGCUCAACCUGGAGACGCCACCUGAUACUGCUGUGGCUAGAGUCCGGUAGGGGAGCGUGGAAUUCCUGGUGUAGCGGUGAAAUGCGCAGAUAUCAGGAGGAACACCAGCGGCGAAGGCGGCGCUCUGGGCCGGAACUGACGCUGAGGAGCGAAAGCGUGGGUAGCAAACAGG
rnacentral:rRNA from 1 species